GCUCCGAAGUGUUUAUCAUGUCAGAUUGCAAAUCUGAAGAAGCAGAUCAACCGUCUGCCGGGGUUU
rnacentral:tRNA from 1 species